GCCUGGCUGGCUCAGUCAGUGGAGCAUGAGACUCUUGAUCUUGGGGUUGUGGGUUUGAGCCCCACAUUGGGUG
rnacentral:tRNA from 1 species